rnacentral:lncRNA from 1 species
GGACCGGUCCCAAGUCGGGGAGACCGGUCCCCAAGCACGAAAUCUGUCCAGUUCUGACAGUUUAAUAAAGUGAAAGCUGAGGGGUUUAUUUGCAAAAAUGCAAUAUAUAGGUUAUGUUGAGGGGGUUAUGAGGUAUUUUCUCUCAUUCUCACCCUCUCACACUCUCACCUCUCUUUCUCUCUCCAGAAGACAAGAAGGAGAAAAAGAAAGAAAGGGAAAGAAAGGAAAAGAAGAAGAAGAAAAAGAGAAGGAAGGUGGAGAAGAAGAAGAAUGAGUGAAAUAACUCCCUCUUCUUCACCUCUAGCACAAAGAAA